AUUGAACGCUGGCGGCAUGCCUUACACAUGCAAGUCGAACGGUAACGGGCCUUCGGGUGCCGACGAGUGGCGAACGGGUGCGUAAUACAUCGGAACGUGCCCGAUCCUGGGGGAUAACGAGGCGAAAGCUUUGCUAAUACCGCAUACGAUCUACGGAUGAAAGCCGGGGACCGCAAGGCCUUGCGCGGACGGAGCGGCCGAUGGCAGAUUAGGUAGUUGGUGGGAUAAAAGCUUACCAAGCCGACGAUCUGUAGCUGGUCUGAGAGGAUGAUCAGCCACACUGGGACUGAGACACGGCCCAGACUCCUACGGGAGGCAGCAGUGGGGAAUUUUGGACAAUGGGCGCAAGCCUGAUCCAGCCAUGCCGCGUGCAGGAUGAAGGCCUUCGGGUUGUAAACUGCUUUUGUACGGAACGAAAAGCCUUCUUUUAAUACAGGAGGGUCAUGACGGUACCGUAAGAAUAAGCACCGGGUAACUACGUG
rnacentral:rRNA from 1 species